UACAGAGGGGGCAAGCGUUAUUCGGAAUUAUUGGGCGUAAAGGGCGCGUAGGCGGCUUGGCAAGUGGAUGGUGAAAUCCCUCGGCUUAACCGAGGAACUGCCAUCCAGACUGCUUUGCUUGAGGCCGGGAGAGGUAAGUGGAAUUCCCAGUGUAGCGGUGAAAUGCGUAGAUAUUGGGAGGAACACCAGUAGCGAAGGCGGCUCGCUGGGCCACACCUGACGCUGAGACGCGAAAGCUAGGGGAGCGAACAGG
rnacentral:rRNA from 1 species